UAGCAUAAUAAUUUAUCUCUUAAUUAGAGCCAUGGAUGAACGGUCAAACUCAUAACAUGUAAUUUUACUUUUUAUUAAUUUAACCUCUAACUUAAGUAAAAAUACUUAAAUAUCUGAGAGGGACGACAAGACCCUAAAAGCUUAAAUAAUCUUACUGUGACUAAUAAUUACAGCUUAAUUAUAGAGUAAAUUUUAUUUUGGCUGGGGUAGUCUUUUUAUUUAAAUUAAGAUUCCACAAUAAACAUAAUCUUUGGUUACCCGGUCCUAUAGAUAUAGAUAAAUAGAGAGAGUUACUUUAGGGAUAACAGCGUAAUAAUCGUAGUGAGACCCUAUCUAAACGAUUGAUUGCGACCUCGAUGUUGAAUUAAAAAAUCUUUUAGGAGCAGACCCCUUUAAAGAAGGUUUGUUCAACCUUUAAAUUUUUACAUGAUUU
rnacentral:rRNA from 1 species